rnacentral:rRNA from 1 species
GCCGCGGUAUCCUAGCCGAGCGAAGGUGAGCAAUCAAUUGUCUCAUAAAUUGAGACUUGUAUGAAUGGGAAACGAGGUCUUAACUGUCUCUUGCAGAUAAUCAGUGAAAUUGAUCUUCCUGUGCAAAAGCAGGAAUAAACACAUAAGACGAGAAGACCCUGUGGAACUUAAAAAUCAGCAGCCACCUCGCAACAAAACUUAACCUACUAGGCUCACCAGACAUGAUGCUGGCUCACAUUUUUCGGUUGGGGCGACCUUGGAGAAAAACAAAACCUCCAAAAAUAAGACCACCCCUCUUAACUAAGAGCAACCCCUCAACGUACUAACAGUAACCAGACCCAAUAUAAUUGACCAAUGGACCAAGCUACCCCAGGGAUAACAGCGCAAUCUCCUCCAAGAGUCCAUAUCGACGAGGAGGUUUACGACCUCGAUGUUGGAUCAGGACAUCCUAAUGGUGCAGCCGCUAUCAAGGGUUCGUUUGUUCAACGAUUAAUAGUCCUACGUGAUCUGAGUUCA